GCAAAACUCAAAAACUUAGCCUCAGUUCGGAUUGUAGGCUGAAACUCGCCUACAUGAAGCUGGAGUUGCUAGUAAUCGCGAAUCAGCAUGUCGCGGUGAAUACGUUCCCGGGCCUUGUACACACCGCCCGUCACACCAUGAGAGUUGGCAAUACCCAACGUACGUGAUCUAACCCGCAAGGGAGGAAGCGUCCUAAGGUAGGGUCAGCGAUUGGGGUGAAGUCGUAACAAGGUACC
rnacentral:rRNA from 1 species